AAGGGUGGGAAGCCCUAGGUCGGACUUCUAAUCUGUCCUAAUUCGAGUUGCGUCGAAUAACCCUUG
rnacentral:tRNA from 1 species